rnacentral:rRNA from 1 species
AACGCUAGCUACAGGCUUAACACAUGCAAGUCGAGGGGCAGCAUGGAACUUAGCUUGCUAAGUUUCGAUGGCGACCGGCGCACGGGUGAGUAACACGUAUCCAACCUACCGUUUACUACGGGAUAGCCUUCUGAAAAGGAGAUUAAUACCGUAUGGUAUUCUAAGGUUUCAUGACAUUAGAAUUAAAGGUUUACCGGUAAUCGAUGGGGAUGCGUUCCAUUAGAUAGUAGGCGGGGUAACGGCCCACCUAGUCAGCGAUGGAUAGGGGUUCUGAGAGGAAGGUCCCCCACAUUGGAACUGAGACACGGUCCAAACUCCUACGGGAGGCAGCAGUGAGGAAUAUUGGUCAAUGGACGAGAGUCUGAACCAGCCAAGUAGCGUGAAGGAUGACUGCCCUAUGGGUUGUAAACUUCUUUUAUAUGGGAAUAAAGUUCUCCACGUGUGGAGUUUUGUAUGUACCAUUAUGAAUAAGCAUCGGCUAACUCCGUGCCAGCAGCCGCGGUAAUACGGAGGAUGCGAGCGUUAUCCGGAUUUAUUGGGUUUAAAGGGAGCGUAGGUGGACUGGUAAGUCAGUUGUGAAAGUUUGCGGCUCAACCGUAAAAUUGCAGUUGAUACUGUCAGUCUUGAGUACAGUAGAGGUGGGCGGAAUUCGUGGUGUAGCGGUGAAAUGCUUAGAUAUCACGAAGAACUCCGAUUG